AACAUUCCCUUUUCUGAACUCACAGGCAGUUUACUUUCUUCAAAUAUUUAUGCUUCCUUUUGCCAAGACAUUGUUUUGGAAAAGGGUCUUCUGUAAAAGGCAACCAUUGGUAGAAGACUGAAGAAUCUAAUGACAGCUUUCAACGUUCACCCACACCAUGCAUCGCUGCUACUAAUGAUGUGGAAACUGAGGCCCAGAGAGUUUAAGCAACCUGCCUCAAAUCACACAGAAAACUAACCAAACAGCUGAUCAGCCACCCUAUAAGACCCUUCCAUUGAGGUGUGGAAGAGAUAUGACUCAAAAAGUCUUUAACCGGUAAACUGGGAGAAGACCACAAUAAUACCUGGAAAACUGUACCUGGCCCAGCAAGGAACAACAAUAUCUUGACAGAGAACUCUUUGCAACUAAGACAGGGUCAUCUACAUUGUCUGAACUCCAUGUGCAUCAGAGAUUACACCCAGAGAAAACAAAAGAACUACGCAACAGAAGCAGCCCAAGCCAAGUAAACAAGAGAAAACGUGACUUGCUGUAACAAGCAUUUUCCUGCCCUGGUUGAAACAGAUGGACAAUAAAAGAUCCAGCCUGUCUUCAGCCUCCCCCUAUGAGAAAAUAGAAUCCAAUGAGCUGAGGUUUCCUGGGGCACAAACUACUCCCAGAGAGUAAGUUAAGCACUUGCAGAAACUACAGGAACUGAAAUUUAAUAAACACAGUCUCGUUGUACUGAAGGAUCCCCCAGCGGCCUUGGAGCAUUAAGGGGGCUUGCAAUCGCACUUGUUCAGUUGUGACUUGAAGAAUGACUCACCCUAUGAUCGGACCCAGUGUUGCCCAAUAUCCUUCAUUUAAUUGAAACGCUAGACUUCCCAAAUAAACGGGGAACCUGCUUCAAAGGCCCAGAUGGUCCAUUGCUGUUGUCUCCUCACGAAGACGACUUUUCAGGUUCGUGUCAACUCAGUAGCGGACUGAGAGAGAAUUUAUCCCCGUCAGCACCUUUGCAAACAUUUCUGUGUGUUAUUGCAUUUUUCAAAGACCCAUUAUAUGAUAUGGAAUUCCUAAAAUCAAAGAUAUUCUGUGCCUUUCACAAAAGAGAGAGCCAGCUAAAGUAUAUGCAUUCUUUAUUUACUUUGGAGAUUUUUUUUUCCUCUCCAUUUGUGUACCCUCCAUAUAAUCCCUUGGCAAAUCCACCAUGCAAAACAGAAAAGGAUAAUAAGAACCUCCCCCUUGCUAACCUGCUUCAAUCAGCAUGGCCCUUGCUCCAUUUUUGGAUACAAUAUAGCCAUUUACUCCUGGGGGCUGGAUCACCAUCAAAGCCUUUGGAGGGGUUAAAAACUGGGUCAAUACCACCAUGGGAGAAUGGGACCACCAAUUGGAGCUUUCAGUCACAUCUGAUUUGGCUGUACUAAUAAGACACCAGCCCUAAAGAACUGUGGACUUUUUGUUGCUGCCCAAAUAUACUGACCUGCCUCCCCUUUGUUCUCUGAUAGGGCCAUCCUCCUGAGCAAAUCCCAUACUGGCAAGCUGAGCGUGACAAGAUUAUCUUAAACUGAUCAGCUGAAAGGAAAGAAAACAUUAAAAAAAACCUUUUCCUCUUCCUGGUGAAAUUGUUAAUCAUUUUGCUGUUCUUUUUGCUCUUGAGUACUGUCCUUUCACUUAAUAUAUUGUGCAAUAUAAUUCAUGAACUCAAACAAUGAACUUCACAACCAGAAUAUGGGAGAAUUGGAGGAAGAAUGAAUGUAUGCACAGGAGGUCCUGGUAAGUGAGAGAACAAAGCUACCGAGAUACACUUUCUCGUGGCAUGAUUGUGGGUCAUUUCAAAAUCACAAAAUCGAAGCCUCAAUCUUAAUGCCAUUAACCAUGUUAUUCUGCAAUCACAGCAAUUUAGGGGGGAGGAAGGGAGAAGGGAAAGGUUAGUCACAAUGGCCCUAGGUAAUAUUACAUCCACUUUUAUGCCAGAGACAAUGUUAUUUCACUGUGAGUUUCACAAAGGUAUGUUGAGCCUGUCAAGGCGAGAUAUUUGGAAACCAAUUUGCAGCAACUUGACAAGUGGACUGUCUUUGGGACCCAAAGAGGUACAGCAGGCUAACUAACGUGAGUCAAUCAGACAGAAGUCAGGCAAAAGAUAUGCUUCAAGAACUCUGGGAAGUACAUUCCAAAGUCAUUCAACAUGGGUGUUGAAUGCUCACAGAUGACAGCAGGAAGCAGAGUCUGCUGAUGUGCCACAAUCAGAAUGACAUGGAUCGGGACAAGCUCGGAUGACAUCAGAACCAUUGCUUGAAGAGUCCCGACAUGCUUGCAGGCAGCAUCCUAAAUCCAUGUGGGAAGGAUUUACCUCUUGUGCAUGAAGAGCUGAAUUUGGAAUCACAGGACUGGGGUUUGAAAGCGUACUUCUAUUGCUAACUCACAUCAUGACCUUGGGAAAAUCACUUGACUUCUCUCAGGCUCAAUUUCUUUACCUGAAAAAUGAGGAGCCUAGACAAGAAAAUUUCUAAGAUCCCUUCAGGCUCCAAAAUUCUAGGAUCCCUCUGUAGGCUUAUUAGCUGUUCUAUUUAGAUCUGCUUAUAUUCAAUAAACUA